rnacentral:lncRNA from 1 species
CGUUUUCCAUCAGAUUUUCCAUACAAGAAAUCCUAAAAUCCCUUACUCCAUAGAAACGACGCCUUGGACCUUAUCCCUCGUCCCUCACUUUUCAGCAGCAAGAACCAACGGACCUCCUCCCCCUUCCCCUCGAUUUCUUUCAUCAAAACAAAAGAACCUCACUUACACACUUUCAGUGAUUAGAAAAUUUGAAGCUAAGAAAAACCGGGACGUGAGGUUGAGAUUUUGGGAACUCUUGACCAGAUUUUAAAGCUGUGGAAGGCUGAGUUGUUUGUCGAGAUUCGCUGUGUGUUAUUUCUGCCUCAUUAAGCUCCAUCAUCCCUUAUUUGGCAUAUUUUUUGGGUUGAUUUAGUUGCUGAGCCUCGGUUGAUUUUGCCUUUGCAUUUUAGAUACAAAUCCUUUGAGUUGUGGGUGAGGUAUCUUCUUUAACUAUCACCUUGUAUGAAUUCUUGUUCUAUUGGUAUUGGAUAUGUAUUCUCUAUAUAAGGUGCAUUGACUUAACUGAUUUAAUCCAUUUAAUGUAGUCUUUGGCGAUUUGGCAUGAGAUAUUUAACCAAAAGAUGAAAACAGCAAAAGAAUUUCAGUUUA